rnacentral:rRNA from 1 species
GAGUUUGAUUCUGGCUCAGGAUGAACGCUGGCGGCGUGCUUAACACAUGCAAGUCGAACGGGCGAAUUAUAUCGGAGGUCUUCGGGCCAAAGAGAUAAUAAGCUAGUGGCGGACGGGUGCGUAACGUGUGGGUAAUCUGCCUUUGUCAUAGGAAUAACUGCUUGAAAAAGUAGCUAAUACCAAAUAACAUAUCGUAUAGGCAUCUAUAAGAUAUCAAAGAGAAAUCGGACAAAGAUGAGCCCGCAUCUGAUUAGCUGGUUGGUAGGGUAAAAGCCUACCAAGGCGACGAUCAGUAGCCGGCCUGAGAGGGUGAACGGCCACAUUGGAACUGAGACACGGUCCAAACUCCUACGGGAGGCAGCAGUGGGGAAUAUUGCACAAUGGGGGGAACCCUGAUGCAGCAACGCCGCGUGAGUGAAGAAGGCUUUCGAGUCGUAAAACUCUGUUGUAAGGGAAGA